GGGGCGUUAGCUCAGUUGGUAGAGCGCGUCAAUGGCAUUGACGAGGUCAGCGGUUCGAUCCCGCUACGCUCCA
rnacentral:tRNA from 1 species